rnacentral:rRNA from 1 species
UACAGAGGUCCCAAGCGUUGUUCGGAUUUACUGGGCGUAAAGGGUGCGUAGGUGGUAAGGUAAGUCUGAUGUGAAAUCUCCGAGCUUAACUCGGAAAUGGCAUUGGAAACUACCUGACUUGAGGGUUUGAGGGGGGACUGGAAUACUUGGUGUAGCAGUGAAAUGCGUAGAUAUCAAGUGGAACACCAGUGGCGAAGGCGAGUCCCUGGAAAAUACCUGACACUGAGGCACGAAAGCUAGGGGAGCAAACAGG